CCUACGGGAGGCAGCAGUAGGGAAUAUUGCUCAAUGGGGGAAACCCUGACGCAGCAACGCCGCGUGGAGGAUGCAGGUUUUAGGAUUGUAAACUCCUUUUGUGAGAGCGGAUUAUGACGGUAUCUACCGAAUAAGCACCGGCUAACUCCGUGCCAGCAGCCGCGGUAAUACGGAGGGUGCAAGCGUUAUCCGGAAUCACUGGGCGUAAAGAGUUCGUAGGCGGGGUGAAAAGUCAGAUGUUAAAGCCUGUAGCUUAACUUCAGUACUGCAUUUGAGACUGGUAAUCUGGAAUGUGGGAGAGGUAAAGGGAAUUCCUGGUGUAGGGGUAAAAUGCGUAGAGAUCAAGAGGAACA
rnacentral:rRNA from 1 species